GUGAGGCACUGCGUUUGAUCCUCAGUACCACAUAAAAAUAAAUAAAUAAAAUUAAGGUAUUGUGUCUAACUACAACUAAAAAUAAUAAUAAUAAGAGUAAACAGGAUAAUGUAUGUGUAAAUACAGCAUAGAACCUGGCCUAUAGAAUUCAUUUAAAUAUUAGUUAUUAUUAUUAUAGUCAUUAACUUCACCUCUUUAAAGGUUCAGGCUUUGGUUGUUCUCUAGUGACUGGAAGCCGUCAUCUCUUUUGUGAUUAGUGAGGAAAUUAAAUACAGCAGGAACAGAUGAUCACCCACAUUGUGGGCUAAUCAAUCAUACAGGUGUUUAUUAUGUGCCAUUGUUUUAUUUUAAAGAACUUACAAAUAUAGACCUAGGUGGGACGUCAGGGAUCAUUUAGUUCCACUUUUCCACCCUGUGCUUCCAUGCAUCUUCCAAUAUCACCACUGAGUAGGUACCUGCUGUAUAUCACACAUGCAGGCAUACAGGACAUAGGGAGUUCACUUCCUUGCCUAUACCAUGAGCCGAAGUCCCCUUCCCCUUAGAUUUUGCUUGUUAGUUACUCUCCUCCAAGACAACAACAAAGGGGCCAUCUCUUUCAUCAGAGAAUAUAGGGACUUUACCUAGAUAGAAUUUCUGAGCUUUUCAAGGGCCUGAUUUAAGAAAAUAGUUGAAUAAACAAACCAACAACGCCGCCGCCGCC
rnacentral:lncRNA from 1 species